CUAGCCAUCAUCGAAGAUCUUCACGCCGCUCCCUUGGCCUCUCUCCUCUCUCCCGUCCGGUGAUCUUCGUCUCGGACCCCUCCUCUCUCUUUCACCCGGCGACCUUGUUGAGGGCUAGCUGAGUGAAGACCAAUCGCUUUCAUUGUUCUUAGUUUUAAUAGGUCCUUAUUCUCCUUGUUUUUUUCCUUAGAAGCAUCGGCAGGGUGGUGGCGGCGAUAGCGUGUUGGAUUGGAAUGACAUCUCUCCGGCUCUCCAUACCUCUACGACCUCCAAUUCGACACCGACGAAGGUCCUGCGAGGAUAGGUCUUGCCAGAUCUGUUGUCACUGCAAGGGAUCGCAAGUCUGUGUUGCGUCGGGUGAAUUUUCCAAGCUCAUGCGGUUGAUGUACAAUUGAAGAAAAAGACGGAUGCAAAACCAGCAAGGAACACUUAGCAAUAUAUAAACUAAUCAAUAAUGCAUGGAGAUGGCAAGGCGGUCAGGAUCAGAUGAGUCAUCGCAACAGCCCAAAGGAAAAGGAAAAGAUGGAAUAGAAUACAUACAUGUGAUGAUACACCAUGCAACAUGCUACUGGUCUACCGCGGCGCCCCGCUACUCUACGCUCCUCACUCUCAGCUCGGCUCAGCUUCUUGGCAGCCUAU